GAAAAAAAUAAUACGUAUUUCAACACUCGUGAGAAACUAAUGAUUGCGGUAGUGAUAAUAUUUCAUGAUUAUCUCUUUAUAGAUCGCAUGUAAAUUCAAGAUAUCCCGUUACACAGAAGAGCGAAACUCAUUAUGUAUGCUGAUUGAAGCAGUGAUACUUGCAUUGAUCACAGUUAAGGACAAAUCAAUAUAAGGUGUUCAAUAAGUGCACCUAAGAAUAACACAUACGACUACAUCUACAACGUAUUAAUUUAUAAAUUAAACAAUAAGAAAUCAGGAAUAUGUUAACACAAAGGUAUUGACCAUGGUGCUGUUUAUUGGCUUUCCACAGCAUAUAUAAACUGUGGAAACGGAUCGAAGAGAGUAUAGUACGACUUGAUCUUCGAAGUAGUCUACAAGUACAAUUUAAACCAUGAAGCUGUUGCUAACUCUCUUCGCUGCGCUAUUCUGCGUGGUAUUUGUCACAAGUGCUCCGUUGGAUGAUGAGGCCCGUGAUAAGAGGCAUCUUCUCGUCAGUCAUGGACCUGCAGUAGUUUCGGUACCACUUAUUGCUCCGGCACCUCUCGUUCAUGGACCAGUCGUCGUAGGACCUCAUUGGCCACAUCCUGUUGCUUAUGGUCAUUCAAUUGUCAAGUAUUGGUAGAAAGAGGCGAAGAUUGCAACGUCAAAAAUUUGUAUAAACAACAAUUUUCUACUGCUUUUGUCAGUUCCAUUUUAAGUAAAAAAUUUAGGGACACAAAUUUUAUCUUGGAUGUAAACUAUUUUUGACACUUCUGAUACUUAAACUCUUAUGUAGAGCUCUACGACAUUCCGAAAAAUACUAACAAUUACCCAAUUAAUGGGCAUUAAAACCAUU